rnacentral:rRNA from 1 species
CCACGCCCNGCGGUAAUUCGCAGCUCCGGGAAUAGCGUAUAUUAAAGUUGUUGCAGUUAAAAAGCUCGUAGUUGAAUUUCGGGGUCAGUAGGUUGGUCGUGCCACCGGUACGUACUGGUCUCACUGAUUCCUCCUUCCUGAAGAACCGUAAUGCCAUUAAUUUGGUGUUGCGGGGAAACAGGA